AUUAGUGGCGAACGGGUGAGUAACACGUGAGUAACCUGCCCUUGACUCUGGGAUAAGCACUGGAAACGGUGUCUAAUACCGGAUACGAACUUCAGCCGCAUGGCUAGGAGUUGGAAAGAAUUUCGGUCAAGGAUGGACUCGCGGCCUAUCAGCUAGUUGGUGAGGUAAUGGCCCACCAAGGCGACGACGGGUAGCCGGCCUGAGAGGACGACCAGCCACACUGGGACUGAGACACGGCCCAGACUCCUACGGGAGGCAGCAGUGGGGAAUUUUGGACAAUGGGCGCAAGCCUGAUCCAGCCAUGCCGCGUGCGGGAAGAAGGCCUUCGGGUUGUAAACCGCUUUUGUCAGGGAAGAAAUCCUUUGAGAUAACACCUCGGAGGGAUGACGGUACCUGAAGAAUAAGCACCGGCUAACUACGUGCCAGCAGCCGCGGUAAUACGUAGGGUGCGAGCGUUAAUCGGAAUUACUGGGCGUAAAGCGUGCGC
rnacentral:rRNA from 1 species